AAAAUGGUUAUAGGUGAAAACGUAGCGAGGUGGGCGGGGCUCCGGUGACGGGCGGUGAGGCAACAAACGUUUCUUGCCUAAAAUUCGUGCGACCUCGUCAAUACGUAGACAGCAUCACCUUCCACAUUUCUCCCUUAUCCUCUUGUGCCUUCAGACUGUGGUGGAUACAGAGGCUGAUUACUUGCCUGUAGUUCCAAGUUACACUGAGGAAAAUGAUGGUAUACAUACACAAGGAGAUUAACGCGCACAAGGAAGACGUAGAGAGUGGUAAGGCAAAGUAUUACUUGGGAGAGCUUGACAUGAUGAAUAACUCCAUCCUGGCGAAUGUUCCGGGCCCCAAAGGAACACCAUAUGAAGGGGGUUACUUCUUAUUCCAGUGCUACUUCCCAAGAGACUAUCCUUACCUGGGAAUAAAA